rnacentral:rRNA from 1 species
AGCAGCCGCGGUAAUUCCAGCUCCAAUAGCGUAUAUUAAAGUUGUUGCAGUUAAAAAGCUCGUAGUUGAAUUUCGGGAUCAAGGCGUCGGUCGUGCUUCGGUACGUACUGGCGUCAUUGAUUUCUCCCUUCUGACGAACCAUGAUGUCAUUAACUUGGUGUUAUGGGAAAUCAGGACUGUUACUUUGAAAAAAUUAGAGUGUUUAAAGCAGGCUCACGCUUGAAUACAUUAGCAUGGAAUAAUGAAAUAGGACGUUCGAUCCUAUUUUGUUGGUUUUUAGGAUCAACGUAAUGAUUAAUAGGGAUAGUUGGGGGCAUUAGUAUUCAAUUGUCAGAGGUGAAAUUCUUGGAUUUAUUGAAGACUAACUACUGCGAAAGCAUUUGCCAAGGAUGUUUUCAUUAAUCAAGAACGAAAGUUAGGGGAUCGAAGACGAUCAGAUACCGUCGUAGUCUUAACCAUAAACUAUGCCGACUAGGGAUCGGAUGAUGUUAAUUAUUUAAUGACUCAUUCGGCGCCUUACG